rnacentral:rRNA from 1 species
GCGUCUACCUGCAGUCGACGGUGAACACGGAGCUUGCUCUGUGGGAUCAGUGGCGAACGGGUGAGUAACACGUGAGCAACCUGCCCCUGACUCUGGGAUAAGCGCUGGAAACGGCGUCUAAUACUGGAUAUGUGACGUGACCGCAUGGUCUGCGUCUGGAAAGAAUUUCGGUUGGGGAUGGGCUCGCGGCCUAUCAGCUUGUUGGUGAGGUAAUGGCUCACCAAGGCGUCGACGGGUAGCCGGCCUGAGAGGGUGACCGGCCACACUGGGACUGAGACACGGCCCAGACUCCUACGGGAGGCAGCAGUGGGGAAUAUUGCACAAUGGGCGCAAGCCUGAUGCAGCAACGCCGCGUGAGGGACGACGGCCUUCGGGUUGUAAACCUCUUUUAGCAGGGAAG